rnacentral:rRNA from 1 species
UACGAAGGGUGCAAGCGUUACUCGGAAUUACUGGGCGUAAAGCGUGCGUAGGUGGUGAGUUAAGUCUGUCGUGAAAUCCCCGGGCUUAACCUGGGAACUGCAUUUGUGACUGCAAGACUAGAGCACGGCAGAGGGGGGUAGAAUUCCACGUGUAGCAGUGAAAUGCGUAGAUAUGUGGAGGAAUACCGAUGGCGAAGGCAGCCUCCUGGGUCGAUACUGACGCUCAUGCACGAAAGCGUGGGGAGCAAACAGG